AUUGAACGCUGGCGGCAGGCCUAACACAUGCAAGUCGAGCGGAGCGGCGGACGGGGGAGUAAUGCCUAGGAAUCUGCCUGGUAGUGGGGGAUACCGUCGGGAAACGGGCGCUAAUACCGCAUACUAUCAGAUGAGUCUAGGGCGGAUUAGCUAGUUGGUGGGGUAAAGGCCUACCAAGGCGACGAUGCGUAACUGGACUGAGAGGAGGAUCAGUCACACUGGAACUGAGACACGGUCCAGACUCCUACGGGAGGCAGCAGUGGGGAAUAUUGGACAAUGGGCGAAAGCCUGACCCAGCCAUGCCGCGUGUGUGAAGAAGGUCUUCGGAUUGUAAAGCACUUUAAGUUGGGAAGCGGUACCAACAGAAUAAGCACCGGCUAACUACGUGCCAGCCGCCGCGGUAAUAC
rnacentral:rRNA from 1 species